rnacentral:lncRNA from 1 species
UCACCCCACUGCACUCCAGCCUGGGCGACAGAGCAAGACUGACUCAAUUUAAAAAAAAAAAGAUAAAAAUGGUGCAUCUCUAUAGGGCGUUUACCAUGCCUGGAGCUUGUGGGACUGGAAGUUGCUCUGGAAUCACUUCCUGGCUGGGAAUUGAACCCAGACUGCUGCAGUGAAAGAGCAUAAUGUUAGCUACUGGCCCACAGCAUGAGACUCCCGGUCCUGUUUGUUGCUCAUCCCCAGAUACGCAGCCUGGUCUACAGGAAGAAUUCUAUGUAUAUUUGCUGAAGAGACAAAGAAGGAUGUGGAUGAAUUGGAUGUGGAGAAUGAGAGGAAAGAAAAUGUCAAGGAUGGCUCUAAUUUCUGGCUUAUGCAACUGAGUGGUGCCAUUGAGAGAGACUCUCUCUCUUGCCUUCUUGGUUGGCACACUGGGGAGAAGCGAGCUGCAGCGUUGGAGAGGCCCAUGUGGCAAGGGACUGAGAGCAGCCUCUGGCCAACAGCCGGUAAGCAACCAGUGAGCAACCGAGGCCCUCAGUCCCACAGCAUGUGAGGAACUGAGUCCUGCCAAUGAUCAUGUGAUACUGAAGGAGGGUCUUUCUUUAGCUGAUCCUACAGAUGAGAAUCUAGCCCUUGUGCUGCCUCAUGAGAGACCCUGGAGCAGAGGCCCCAGCUGAGCUAUGCCUGGAUUCCUACCCACAGAAACUGGAAGACAAUAAAAGUGUCGUUUAUGUUUUUUUAUUCUGGUAAAAAUCAUAUAACAUGAAAUUUUUCCAUUCUAACCAUUAAAAACAUGUCUUUUUGUGUGUGUGAGACAGGGUUUCGUUCUGUCACCCAGGCUAGAGUGCAGUGGUGCAAUC